rnacentral:lncRNA from 1 species
CAACCACUGAACCAUGUAGCGUCCCUACCUUAACACUUUAAAUGUAAGCACCUGUCCAUAUAAUUUAAUAAUUAUUGAAAACAUGAUUUUUUUUUACUGUUGCACAAUAUCUCACCAUAGGUGUUACCAUGCAAUGAAAUAUGGAGUGGAUCCCUGGAUCUGUCUCAGAAGCAGAUUGAUCAGUGACUAGAACAGAACAGCACCUACCUCACUGAAUGCUUUGAUCUGUUCCUAAUUGUUACAACAGCAUCCGGCACCGAGAAAUAAAUGACAUAAAUAAGUAAAAACAAUUGUCAUUAUUUGUACAAAGGUUUGUUGCAUAAAUAUCUUAUGUUUAGCUUGACUUGAACUUUGCACUAUUAUAGGUAAGGAUCUGUGAACAUAUUUUGGACACAAAUCUGUGCUUCUCACAAUUUUAAGACGUAAUUCUGGAAGGUAUGACCACAGAUCAUUGAAAUGCAUAUUUUUUUGGAUUUAAUGGAAAACACAGGUAGUGUUGGAAAAUAUCCCCUUAAGACUUUUAAAAUUAUUAAGAUUCCUCAUUAUCAACUGUUAAUUUGGGAUACUGAGGUGUGAGGAUGAACACUAGAGAGUCUGAAAACUUGGAUUAUGAGCUUAGUUCUGCAGCUCGCUGGCUGAGUUAACUUAAGAUACUAAGUAAGCCAUUCUGAGCCUCAGUUUCCUAACCUUAUAGAGCUGUCAAAAGCAAAUAAUAGUUACCUUUUAGUGGGAGUGUACUGUGCUUCAAGACCCUUUAGUAUAUUGUCUCAAUCCACAAAACAACUGUGAGAAGGAGAUAGUUUAACUUCUUGGUCACAGGUGCAUUUCCUGAGGCCAUGUGAGGUUAACUAGUCUGUCUGUGAACACAGGUUCUUUCCUCUCAUCCUGUUGGCCCCUGUCUCCAAAAACUCUAGAGGAGUCUAAAGUGUCAUUUUAUUACUGUCUGUAAAGUUUUGCUAUUUUCCUAAUGUGACUGCCAGGUCCAGAAUUUUCUAUGGUGACUGCCACUUCCAGACCAAUACCACUAGGGGGAAGCAGAAACCUUUUUAACCUUUUUAUACAACUGUGUCCAGAAUGUCAAGGAGGAAGAAGAGAGGAAGGGAAAGAAGAAAGGGAAGUAUAGGACCUCAGUGUUGGGAAAGCUUUGUUUUCAUCAUCUACCCACUGUGAAUUUCCUCCUCAACAUUCUGGACAGAACACUUCCAUUGUGUGUUCCUAG